rnacentral:rRNA from 1 species
GAUGGCGUGCCUUUUGUAGAAUGAACCGGCGAGUUACGAUCCCGUGCGAGGUUAAGCUGAAGAGGCGGAGCCGCAGCGAAAGCGAGUCUGAAUAGGGCGUUUAGUACGUGGUCGUAGACCCGAAACCAGGUGAUCUACCCAUGUCCAGGGUGAAGUUCAGGUAACACUGAAUGGAGGCCCGAACCCACGCACGUUGAAAAGUGCGGGGAUGAGGUGUGGGUAGCGGAGAAAUUCCAAUCGAACCUGGAGAUAGCUGGUUCUCCCCGAAAUAGCUUUAGGGCUAGCCUUAAGUGUAAGAGUCUUGGAGG